UACGAAGGGGGCUAGCGUUGCUCGGAAUCACUGGGCGUAAAGGGUGCGUAGGCGGGUCUUUAAGUCAGGGGUGAAAUCCUGGAGCUCAACUCCAGAACUGCCUUUGAUACUGAGGAUCUUGAGUUCGAGAGAGGUGAGUGGAAUUCCCAGUGUAGAGGUGAAAUUCGUAGAUAUUGGGAAGAACACCGGUGGCGAAGGCGGCUCACUGGCUCGUAACUGACGCUCAUGCACGACAGCGUGGGGAUCAAACAGG
rnacentral:rRNA from 1 species